GUAGGUGGCAAGCGUUGUCCGGAAUUAUUGGGCGUAAAGCGCGCGCAGGCGGUUCUUUAAGUCUGAUGUGAAAGCCCACGGCUCAACCGUGAAGGGUCAUUGGAAACUGGAGAACUUGAGUACAGAAGAGGAAAGCGGAAUUCCACGUGUAGCGGUGAAAUGCGUAGAGAUGUGGAGGAACACCAGUGGCGAAGGCGGCUUUCUGGUCUGUAACUGACGCUGAGGCGCGAAAGCGUGGGGAGCAAACAGGAUUAGAUACCCUGGUAGUCCACGCCGUAAACGAUGAGUGCUAAGUGUUAGGGGGGUUUUCCGCCCCCCUUAGUGCUGCAGCUAACGCAUUAAGCACUCCGCCUGGGAGUACGGCCGCAAGGCUG
rnacentral:rRNA from 1 species